rnacentral:rRNA from 1 species
AUUGAACGCUGGCGGCAUGCCUUACACAUGCAAGUCGAACGGUAACAGGUCUUCGGAUGCUGACGAGUGGCGAACGGGUGAGUAAUACAUCGGAACGUGCCUAGUAGUGGGGGAUAACUACUCGAAAAGUGGCUAAUACCGCAUGAGAUCUACGGAUGAAAGCAGAGGAUCGCAAGACCUUGUGCUACUAGAGCGGCCGAUGGCAGAUUAGGUAGUUGGUGGGAUAAAAGCUUACCAAGCCGACGAGCUGUAGCUGGUCUGAGAGGACGAUCAGCCACACUGGGACUGAGAAACGGCCCAGACUCCUACGGGAGGCAGCAGUGGGGAAUUUUGGACAAUGGGCGCAAGCCUGAUCCAGCAAUGCCGCGUGCAGGAUGAAGGCCUUCGGGUUGUAAACUGCUUUUGUACGGAACGAAAAGCCCCGGGUUAAUACCCUGGGGUCAUGACGGUACCGUAAGAAUAAGCACCGGCUAACUACGUGCCAGCAGCCGCCGUAA